rnacentral:sRNA from 2 species
UGUGCCGAGGAAGGAUUCUCCUUUGUAAAAGAGUCUGGCUGGCCCCGCGUUGUUCCUGGCUUGAGUGCUACUGAGAGCUGCAGCUCGCUUCCACGGUCGAGCAACAUGAUGAACAUUAUUUUCAGGGACAGGAAGCCGGAGGCGGAGGCUGGAAACGGAUUCUCAGGGCUCAGGUUGUGUGAGCUGUGAGCUGUGAGCCAAUUCUGACUGCAGAAUGAUGGGCCUAGGCUUCGGUUGUGAUCCGAUAAGCUGAGAUAGAGCAGACCCCACGUCAAUCAAUAAAAUGACGGGGUUAUAUAAAAAUAGGGUGUCUAGAAUGAACUAAAGGCCGUCACACAGCAGUAGUCUGCCUGCAAGAUGCAUCACAAGAUGAGAAGGAAAAAAAAGAAAGAAAGAAAGAUGAAUGCUUACCUGUGCCAAUUGCCAAAAAUGCGCCAUUGGAGCCCCUCUUGGCUCUUCUACUAAGUUACACGAGCUGUCGAACAGCAAACCUCAAGAAUUCCCGGCAGCCAGGUAGUACACUCGAAAUGUUCACCAUAGACAGUGUAUCGCGGGUCCGUACAUCGCGUUUGGUACCCUAGUAGUAGCUUUACGUCACAUUUGUACCCGCAUCGGCAUUCCUGCUCAAGAUUCUGUGAGAAGAAAGGAAGUGGAAGUCCAGAAGGGGGGAGGGGGGGAUGUGCAUUGCAGAAGUUGUAUUUCAUCUUGGCAUCCCAAUGGGUGACAUGGCGGCGGCCCAGAGCUGAGGAAGUUUCUCGUGUUUCCCUUCGUUGUUAGAUGCGUUUUCUCAUGAUUGGUAUCUUUGACGACGUGCCGAGUAGCGAGCUCCUGAUUCGAAGAGCCUUGAUGGCGGUAGUUAAAAUUGAUCAUGCCCCUGUGCGAUGCUCUGAUUUCUGGCACAUGGGAACAUGUUAGGGUUCCAUUGGGUUAGUGAAAGUUGUCUUUUUGAAAAGUAAUUCCAUUGAAGAAAUUUAUAUAGUGGGUAGAAGAAAAAGGGUGAGAAGUUCACUGAAGCCGUGCCAUGCUGAGGAGCCUACGACAAUAAUCGAUCAUACCAGCGCAUUGCCGCUCGUUUAUGUAUGAAAAGAACCGAAC